rnacentral:rRNA from 1 species
CUUUCUUGAUUCGGUGGGUGGUGGUGCAUGGCCGUUCUUAGUUGGUGGAGCGAUUUGUCUGGUUAAUUCCGAUAACGAACGAGACUCUAGCCUGCUAACUAGGCGAUUUCCGGUACCCACAAUAGUGUUACCGGCGAUUCAAUUUCUUCUUAGAGGGACAGGCGGCUCCUAGG